UUCAAAAAACAUUUUUAUUAUUAGUAGGUACUUGUAUAGUGCCGACAUUUUCUGCAGCGUUGUACAAUAGGGCAAUACAGACAAAUAAUAAACACAUACUAAUAGGAAAGGAAUAGAGGAUCCUGAGCUACCGUCUAGCAGACACAAUGAUUUUAAACAAAAUGCUGACAUAUGGUGAGUGUACAAUCUAAGGGUAAUAACUGGGAACCGACACAAAUGAUUUACAGGGAGUGUUAGAUGUAAUGGCCAGAGAUCAGGGGUUCUAUACAAGGACAGCGUAACUUGGGAGCUAAUGAAAUAGCUUAGAUUUAGCUGAAGGGUGAUGAGAUAAAAGAAUUUGGAGCCAAGAGGCUGGGAAGUGAUCUACAAUAAAGAAAUACAUAAUUAAAAUGUGUUCUCUGUAGCAGAGAGAGGUUGGGUGCAGGAUAAUAUGUAGAUUGUAGCAAAUUAGAAGAAUAUUUAGGAGCAAAUGUACAAUAACCUGAUAAAUUCCUAUCUUUGCGAAUGAAUAACACUUAUGUAAAUUGUAGAUUAAUAUGGUUAUUUACCCAACAGGAACUAACCAGGUUUGGGGCAUUUUAGUCGAAAAUAGUCAAAAUUCGAAUUAGUUGCGUAGCAGAAUAUUUUAAAUUUGCAGUUCCAUUUUUCAACUUUCAAAUUCCUAUUUUAUUGAAUAACCUUGUAUAUGAUUCCUGCUGCAUGUAAUGCCAUCAGACAUGAACUCUCCCUGCACCUAAAGAAGCCGCUGUGAGAGGUAGCGCAGGCCACAGAAAACAAUUUUUGGGUUGUGGGUACAAAACUGUCUGCAGGCCAGACGACUACAAUGCAGAUGGUUUAAUGUAGAAGGCUACCAAGUUUUACUUUUUUUUUUUUUUUUAAACAACUUUAUGAUAAAUCAUUUUCUUUUUUGAUUAUGGUUUUUGCAUAAUGACUUUUUCUUUGUUGAAGACGAAGAAGUUGUUUCGAAUCCCUAAAAAUGGGCCGUUUUUUUCUGAUUCUGUACAGGCUAUAGGGAACCACAAAUUGUUUACUUAACUCACCACAUCAAUCAGAGAUUCUAAUUAUUACAGAAUGAAAUCAGCCCAUACAUUGUCUUUCUUUAACAUUCUAACCUGUACAUCCGCUGUUACAUAUUCCUGGACUGGCAAGCCAUGUUUGUAAAUCCACAACAUUAAACCAUCCGCUCGUUGUUAUUGGACCCGUUAUAACAGCGAGGCACGCUCUUACACAGUACGCAGGUAAUUCUCAGGAUUACUCAGAUUUAUUAACAAGGUAAAUAUUGUUUUUAAAGUUUAGCAGUUUUUCCAUCUUCCGACACAUUACACUGUACGAAUACGUGACUGCCGUCAUCUAAUGGGAUAUCGCAAAACCAAGUCCAUAAUCGUACUCUUUUUUUACUGUUGUUCCCCCAGAUUUGAUACCUGAUAGCUUAUCAGCAUAGGUCAAGGGCAUUUCAAUGUCAUUUGAGAUCGUUUUACGAGCUGUCAGUUAUUGUGAAGGAUCGUUGGGAGAGGUGAAAACGCAGAGGAUGACAAGAUAUAUUCUUUAAAAGGGACACUAUAGUCACCAGAACAACUACAGCUUUUUGAAUUUGUUCUGGUGAGUAGAAUCAUUACCUUCAGGCUUUUUGCUGUAAACACUGUCUGUGUUUACAUUGUGCAGUGUUUACAUUGCAGCCUAGUGAUAACUUCACUGGCCACUCCUCAGAUGGCUGUUAGAGAUCCUUCCUGGGUCAUGGCUGCCUAAAAUGCAUCCAAACAUUCAGUAUCUCCUCCCUCUGCAUGCAGACACUGAACUUUCCUCAUAGAGAUACAUUGAUUUAAUUCAUCUCUAUGAGGAGAUGCUGAUUGGCCAAGGCUGUGUUUGAAUUGUGCUGGCACUGACCCUGAUCUGCCUCCUUCUCAGUCUCAGCCAUGGGAAGCAUUGUGAUUGGAUCAGGAUAACACUUCUGCUGAUGUCAGCAGGCAGUGGGCAGGUCUAAAGGAAACUGGGACAAAGUAAGCAGCUGCAGACUUGAAUACAAGUAAGAUUUUACUAUAUUUAGGGAGGCAUGACCAGGGUGCCUAGAUGGUGGUUUUAACCCUGUAGCGUCAGGAAUACAUGUUUGUGUUCCUGACCCUAUAGUGAUCCUUUAAUGGACAUUCAAUUGUUAAACCAAUACAAUUAGCAGCAUUUAUAAAACAUAGUGUAGAGAAACUAAUUGUAUUAAACUUCAAAACAUAAUCGUUUUCCUGGCACUAUAGUGCCCUGAGGGUGCCCCCACCCUCAGGGACCCCCUCCCGCCCGGCUCU
rnacentral:lncRNA from 1 species